UACGUAGGUGGCGAGCGUUGUCCGGAUUUACUGGGCGUAAAGGGCGCGUAGGCGGCAAUUCAAGUCAUCUGUGAAAUCUCCGGGCUUAACCCGGAACGGUCAGGUGAUACUGUUUUGCUAGAGUGCGGAAGGGGCAAUCGGAAUUCUCGGUGUAGCGGUGAAAUGCGUAGAUAUCGAGAGGAACACCAGAGGUGAAGGCGGGUUGCUGGGCCGACACUGACGCUGACAGCGCGAAAGCCAGGGGAGCAAACGGG
rnacentral:rRNA from 1 species